GUGAUCAAUCUAUGUAAGAUCGGUGUACUGUUUACCUCUCUUAUGGGUAGAUGAGUCUCGGAUCUGCAGUAUAGGAACACUGGGGUGAGAGUAUAGGUGGUUGUUAGAGAAUAACUUGUACUGAGCGUGAUCAAUAUGAGAAAUCACUUAGAUAUCUACUCACUUAUCAGUGGUUAUCUUGAUGAUAGUGGUGUGAGUGAUCUUUUGACCUAUGGUGUCAUUUGCUAUUCAC
rnacentral:lncRNA from 1 species